AGCGAACGCUGGCGGCAGGCCUAACACAUGCAAGUCGAACGGAUCCUUCGGGAUUAGUGGCGGACGGGUGAGUAACACGUGGGAACGUGCCUUUUGGUUCGGAACAACUCAGGGAAACUUGAGCUAAUACCGGAUAAGCCCUUCGGGGAAGGAUUAUCGCCAUUAGAGCGGCCCGCGUCUGAUUAGCUAGUUGGUGAGGUAAAGGCUCACCAAGGCUACGAUCAGUAGCUGGUCUGAGAGGAUGAUCAGCCACAUUGGGACUGAGACACGGCCCAAACUCCUACGGGAGGCAGCAGUGGGGAAUCUUGCGCAAUGGGCGAAAGCCUGACGCAGCCAUGCCGCGUGAAUGAUGAAGGUCUUAGGAUUGUAAAAUUCUUUCAGCAGGACGAUAAUGACGGUACCUGCAGAAGAAG
rnacentral:rRNA from 1 species